AGCGAACGCUGGCGGUAGGCCUAAAACAUGCAAGUCGAACGCCGUAACAAUACGGAGUGGCAGACGGGUGAGUAACACGUGGGAACGUGCCCUUUGGUCCGUAACAACACAGAGAAACUUGUGCUAAUACCGGAGAAGCCCUUACGGGGGACGAUAUAUCGCAGAAGGAACGGCCCGCGUCUGAUUAGCUGGUUGGUGUGGUAAUGGCCCACCAAGGCUACGAUCAGGAGCUGGUCUGGGAGGAUGAUCAGCCACACUGGGACUGAGAAACGGCCCAGACUCCUACGGGAGGCAGCAGUUAGGAAUCUUGGACAAUGGGCGCAAGCCUGAUCCAGCCCUGCCGCGUGAGUGAUGAAGGCCUUAGGGUUGUAAAGCUCUUUCAGCGGGGAAGAUAGUGACGGUACCCGCAGAAGAAGCCCCGGCUAACUUCGUGCCAGCCGCCGCCGUAA
rnacentral:rRNA from 1 species